AGACCCCUGCUGUGUUUGUGUGGAUUUCGGUGUCCUCCUGAGCCGAUACUUACGAACCUUAGGAAUCCUGCUCUGAUCGUGGAGUGCGAGCUUUAGGGCUUACCGGAAGCGAUUAUUCAGGAGUCCACCUUGAUCCAAGGGUUCAAGAGGAAAGUUUUCCCACGGCACCGGUGGGGGUUUC
rnacentral:other from 1 species